GAAGGUGUAGCUCAAAUGGUAGAGCGCAUGCUUAACACGCAUGAGGUCCUGGGUUCGAUCCCCAGCACCUCUG